rnacentral:rRNA from 1 species
AUUGAACGCUGGCGGCAGGCCUAACACAUGCAAGUCGAACGGCAGCACAGAAGAGCUUGCUCUUUGGGUGGCGAGUGGCGGACGGGUGAGUAAUGUCUGGGAAACUGCCCGAUGGAGAGGGAUAACUACUGGAAACGGUAGCUAAUACCGCAUAACGUCGCGAGACCAAAGUGGGGGACCUUCGGGCCUCACACCAUCGGAUGUGCCCAGAUGGGAUUAGCUAGUAGGUGGGGUAAUGGCUCACCUAGGCGACGAUCCCUAGCUGGUCUGAGAGGAUGACCAGCCACACUGGAACUGAGACACGGUCCAGACUCCUACGGGAGGCAGCAGUGGGGAAUAUUGCACAAUGGGCGCAAGCCUGAUGCAGCCAUGCCGCGUGUAUGAAGAAGGCCUUCGGGUUGUAAAGUACUUUCAGCGGGGAGGAAGGCGGUGAGGUUAAUAACCUUGCCGAUUGACGUUACCCGCAGAAGAAGCACCGGCUAACUCCGUGCCAGCCGCCGCAGUAAUAC